AUCCAGCUGACGAGUUUCACAUAGGACGAAACACGAGUCCUAGAU
rfam:Schistosoma curassoni strain Dakar, Senegal genome assembly, scaffold: SCTD_scaffold0001567